AUGUUAAAAACUAUGAAUUCUCUGAAAGGAGAUGGUUGGUACGAAUCAGUAGAUGUAAGGAGGGAAGUCAGAUUCCUAACAUGUUUCUCAGAAGUGUGUACUGUUGAAGGCUCUCUAGAAUAUAGGAAGGCUCACUUAAUCAGGGAAGCAGCUGAAUGCUAUGGCCUAGUGGCCCAGCUGCAGAAAAUGCAGGUCGGCGAAUUGGAGGCUGUGAAGCUCUGUAACUCCCUAAUGAUUGUUUCCUAAGCAUUGUGGCUUAUUUUGAGUGGCAUGACAGCAUCCCCCGGUUGUAUGUGGCCUGUUUCCAUGAUGUAUUGAGUAAUGUUGUUUGUUGUGAGCAUCAAUGCCUGUAACACCAAGCUAAACACAUUCUUUUGGAUAUGUUUCCUCUCUUUAAAUGAUCUUGCCCUGUCCAAUAAAUAAAUGAUUGUCUCACCCUGUUUUUGGUAGUGGUUUUUUUUUUGUUGUUUUGUUUGUUUGUUUGUAUGUUUUACUUUUAAUCUCAUUUUCUUCUGCUUCUCUGUCCCCAGAAAAAUGUAAGAUUUAAUUUUAACAACUGUAUUUUUUCCAGUGUGAUGCUUUUACUAAAUUCAAUGGAUACUUUACUUUUCAUUAUACAUGUAAAGUCUUACUGCAAUUUUAUGCUCUUUUAGAGUUAAAAUAGAAUAUGUAAUCUCAUUUAUAUUUGUAUUGAUGAAUUAUCAAAUACCCUUUGGAGUACAAGAAUAUUGGUCUGCAAGUAGCAGUGUCUAAUCAUUCCAGCACAAAUUUGUCAUAUAGCCAAACUAUUACAGAAAUGGCAGUUUCUUAUACUUAACAGGAAAUCAUCAUGAUUAAAGCAUCAAGGGGCAAAUCUAAAGUUUAAUCCAAGAGGAAGUUCUGAUUCUUUUAAAAGCAUGGCACUUAUCUGCAGUAGUUUGAAAGAUAGCACUACUAGUAUUCAAAUCUACAUAGGAAUAUCUAAAAAUAACCUACUAAUCAAGUGCUCUUUUAAAAGGAAAAAAGAAAGAAUAUAUGCACAUGGCAAAAAAAUCAGAUGGUACAGAAAGGUAUGAGAUUAAAACUUGCUCCCUUUCCUCCUGCUCCUAAUAACCUCUCUCCAAAGGUAACCAGCUUUAAGUGUCUUGCAUAUUCUUUCAGGAAAAAAAUAAUUUGCCAGCAAGUAUAUACAUAAAAAGUUUUUACAUUAAUGGAAUCAGACUGUAUAUACUCUCUGUACCUUGCUUUUUUUGCUGUGUCUUAUAAGAUCUUUCUGUAUCAGUAUAUAUAGAAAUACCUCAUUCUUUUUAAUGACUGUGUGGUAUUCUACUAUAUAUUGUGUUAUAAAUGUUAAAACAUAUAGACUUCCAGGUUGUUGGCAGUAUUUUACUGUUGAUAAACCAUAUUGUGAUGAAUUUACUCGUACAUAUAAUGAGCUUAACCUAACAAGGUUAAUUCCUAGCAAUAGAAUUGCUGGGUCAAAGUAUAGUUUUCAUUUUCAGGUCAGUAGGUAUUGCUAAACUGAUCUCCAGAAAUCUGCCCAAUUCUACUUCUGCAUAUAAUGUAUAAGAAUAAUUAUUUAUGAGGCCCUUACCAAUAUUGGGCACUCAGCUUUUUAAAAUUUGAUCAUCUGAAAGUGAAUAAAUGGUACUUUGCCUCUUAAUGAAGUUCUAAUGCAUUUUAAUGAAGGAGAUGGAACACAUUUUCAUGUUUAUUGGUUACUUAUAUUUCAUUUUCUGUGAACUGUGUGGUCAUGUUCUGUUUUCGAUUCGAUUUGUUUUUAUUAGUUUGUAUGAGCUCUUUGUAUGCUAAGAAAAUUGGUCUAUUGUCUUAUGUUUAAUAAUAUUUUCCUGAGUUUUAUUUAUUUAUGUAAACUUACCAGUCUUUAUGGCUUCUGGGAUUUGUGCCUUGCUUUAGAAAGGCCUUCUUUACAUUUAAGAAUAAAUUUAAUGUAUUUUUUC
ensembl:lncRNA